rnacentral:rRNA from 1 species
CAGCAGCCGCGGGAAUACGUAGGGUGCGAGCGUUAAUCGGAAUUACUGGGCGUAAAGCGUGCGCAGGCGGUUGUGCAAGACAGGUGUGAAAUCCCCGGGCUUAACCUGGGAACUGCGCUUGUGACUGCACAGCUAGAGUAUGGCAGAGGGGGGUGGAAUUCCACGUGUAGCAGUGAAAUGCGUAGAGAUGUGGAGGAACACCGAUGGCGAAGGCAGCCCCCUGGGCCAAUACUGACGCUCAUGCACGAAAGCGUGGGGAGCAAACAGGAUUAGAUACCCGAGUAGUCCCUGUCUCUUAUAC